ensembl:lncRNA
GGCAGGUUGAAGGUGCCAGUUAAUAUACUGCGCGACACAGCGGCCUUUGAUUCCUUCAUUCAGGCUUCUGUGUUGCCUUUUUCCGCUGAGACUCACACAGGUUGUUGGGUGCCUGUUGUAGGUAUGGAAAUGAAUGUUUUGCAAGUCCCUCUGCACAAAAUCACAUUACACUCUGAUCUCUUCCAAGGCGAGAUAGCUGUGGGUGUGAGGCCGGCGCUGCCUGUUGAGGGGGUCACUCUGAUCCUAGGGAACGGUGCUGCAGGUGAGCGUGUGUGGGGUGAUGGGGACCGGGUCUUGGCGUUACUUCCCAUCAUUACUUCUCCAUUUCAGGCGAAGUAUGGAGGUCCCUAUGAAAUAAAGAAAAAAACGUCUGAACAUAACUACAUCAUUGCUACGCCUGAUCGUAGACGGAGUGUCCAGAUGUGUCAUGUCAACUUAUUGAAACCUUACUAUGAACGUGUCCCUCCAGGUGAAGCUGUCUCCGCCUCCUCUCUGCCUGCGCGGCCUGUGUGUUCUGUGAGUAGAGUGUCUGUGGUUUACCCUCCACAGUCGGUGCCUGCCGGGGUGGAGGAUGGUCUGCCCGACGCUGAUGCUGGGGUGCAGCAAGGUCGUUUAAAAAACUCUGAGUCCUUGAACAAAUUACAUCUUCUGUUGGGCCAUCUGUCUGAGUCACAACAAGCCGACCUAGUUGAAGUGAUAAGUUCCUUCCCAUCUCUGUUUGGUGACACUCCUACUCAAACAAAUGUAAUUGAACAUGAUAUAGAUGUAGGUGAUGCACUCCCAAUUCGCCAAAGGUUUUACCGCGUUAGUCCUGAAAAACGUGUGUCCCUUGAUGCGGAAGUGAAGUAUAUGUUGG